rnacentral:rRNA from 1 species
AUUGAACGCUGGCGGCAUGCCUAACACAUGCAAGUCGAACGAGUGGCGGACGGGUGAGUAAUGACUGGGACACUGCCCGAUGGAAGGGGAUAACUACUGGAAACGGCAGCUAAUACCGCCUACCAUGGGCUGUGCCCAGAUGGGAUUAGCUAGUAGGUGGGGUAAUGGCUCACCUAGGCGACGAUCCCUAGCUGGUCUGAGAGGAUGCCAAGCCACACGGGAACUGGGACAGGGGCCAGACGCCUACGGGAGGGAGCAGGGGGGAAUAUUGCACAAUGGGGGGAAUCCUGAUGCAGUCAGGCCGCGGGUAUGAAGAAGGCCUUCGGGGUGUAAAGUACUUUCAGCGGGGAGGCGUUAGCCGCAGAAGAAGCACCGGCUAACUCCGUGCCAGCAGCCGCGGUAAUAC